ACUUUGACCAACAACAUGGUAAUUCAUGAUUACAUUAUUUACUUUUAGCUAUUUUUCCAAUUUUGACGAUCUUGCUACUUUUGUUUUUCGCUAAUAUUAUAUAUAAAUCAUAUAUGAGCAAAUAUUGACAGAAAGAAAUGGAUGCCAAACGAAGUGAUGGAAGUGAACUACAAAUCAACGACAGAGUAGCUUCAGAAGGACACUAUGGAAGUGUCAAAUUCAUUGGUACCUUACCAGACACAAAAGGAGUUUGGAUCGGGGUUGAUUGGGACGAAGCUGAGCGAGGUAAACAUGAUGGUAGUCAUAAUGGCCAGAGAUAUUUCAGUGCAAGACACCCUACAUCUGGGUCAUUCGUGAGAGGGAAGAAACUGGAUCUUGGCAUUAAUUGUUUUGAUGCUGUUGUGGACCGUUAUGGUAAAAUUGAUGACCCCAAUGCAGGAGUCAUAACAGAAGAGCUGUUUGUUGUGGGCAGCAAUCAGAAGAAGACAGUGGUGGAAAUGGUCGGAGCCAAAGCAGUCAAUGAGAAACAGAGUAAACUAGAUACCUUACAAGAGGUGGUUCUGAGAGGAUGCUUGGUUUAUGGUGUAGGAGAGAGCCCUGAAAAGCUAAGCAAAUGUACCCCCCAGAUACAGGAGCUGGAUCUCUCCCUAAAUCUCCUACCAUCAUGGCCCAGAUUAGCAGCUAUCUGUAAAUGUUUACCCAAUCUCACAGAUUUAAAUGCAAGUGAUAAUCGUCUGGAAAUGCCUACUGAUGUGACAGAAUUGAGUGAUUCUUUCUCCAAUGUGAAAGUCUUAAAAUUAAACAGAGUCCAUUACAAUUGGCAACAGUUGUUGGAGUGCUGUAAAGUCUUUCCAUGCCUGGAGCAGCUCCAUGUGUGUUUCAAUAAUCUAUCAUCUGUACAUUCCCCUGGGAGUCAACUGCAGAAUUUAGUACUCCUCAAUCUGGAAUCAAACUGUCUAGAGUCCUGGGAUCAAAUUCUACAGUUGGAUAUUUGUCCAAGGUAGGUUAGAGAGUCUUAUUCUGAAUGAUAAUAAAAUCAGCAGUAUCACUUUUCCUGAUGCCAGUUUAGGAAGUAAAACCAAGUUCUUUUCAAACCUGAAGCACGUCUACAUCAACAACAAUAGAAUUUCACAGUGGAGCUGUAUAAAUGAACUGAACAAAUUGAAGAGUUUUGAGGACCUGCAGAUACAUGGAAACCCUAUACAGGAGACAGCCUCUCCAGAGACUGUCAGACAGCUCAUCAUAGCCAAAGUUGCCAACUUGAAGAAAUGUCAAAGAACAGAGGUCACUAAUGAAGAGAGAAAAGGUGCAGAAAUAGACUAUCUGAAGAGGUUUGGUGGGGACUGGCUGAAAUCGGGAGGAAACCAAGACCUGAGCCUGAACAGUCCCAACCAAGAGUUCCUCACACAGCAUCCCAGGUUCCAGCACUUUGUCAAAGUAUAUGGAGCCCCAGAAAGUUCUGAAAUGAGCAAGAAGCCACAGAAGCUAAAAGACAGUUUGAUAGAAAUUAAAAUUGUUAACCCUGAUGAUCCGAACGUCAAACCUCUACAGAAGAAACUGCCAGGAACUAUGAUUGUUCAAAAACUAAAGGCUUUGAUUCAAAGACUGUAUAAAGCCGACUCGGAAAUCAAGCUCUCCUACGUCAGUAAAAAGAUGGAGGGCUGUGAGAUAGACUUCGACAAUGACCUCAGACCACUGAACUACUUUUCUAUAGAGGCAGGUGACACUGUUUAUGCUCGAUGGUCAUGAUGAAAGAAAUGGACAUUUUGUAGGGCUUUAUUACAUUUCUUUGUCAAUUCAUUCUCGUUGCUUUCUCUGUGAUAUCUUUUUUUUAUUAUGACAAAAUUUAAUAAAAUGACAAAAGAC
rnacentral:misc_RNA from 1 species